GGCCCCAUCGUCUAGUGGUUAGGACGCCAGGUUCUCAUCCUGGCAACCAGAGUUCGAUUCUCUGUGGGGUCA
rnacentral:tRNA from 1 species